CUAAAGCCUCGACCUCGUUUCCUUGUCGUCCCACACAGCAGCAGUCUUCCCAAGCACCUUAUUGGUCUCAGCAGCAUUAUCCAGGUGAUGCACACCCACCUUACCAACCUCACGGAUGGACUCAGUUUAGUACCAUGGCACCAGCUGCAGGGAUGUCAUUUCAACCAACACAGGCACCACCACGACCUUUCGUUAUAUGAUGCUGGACCUUCUUCGUAUUA